AUUGAACGCUGGCGGCAGGCCUAACACAUGCAAGUCGAACGAUUGGCGGACGGGUGUGUCAUGUCUGGGAAACUGCCUGAUGGAGGGGGAUAACUACUGGAAACGGUAGCUAAUACCGCAUACCAUCAGAUGUGCCCAGAUGGGCUUAGCUUGUUGGGGGGGUAAAGGCUCACCAAGGCGCAGAUCCCUAGAUGGGCUGAGAGGCUGACCAGCCACACUGGAACGGAGACACGGUCCAGAAUCCUACGGGAGGCAGCAGUGGGGAAUAUUGCACAAUGGGAGGAAGCCUGAUGCAGCCAGGCCGCGUGUAUGAAGAAGGCCGUCGGGUUGUAAAGUACUGUUGGCGGGGAGGCGUUACCCGCAGAAGAAGCACCGGCUAACUCCGUGGCAGCAGCCGCGGUAAUAC
rnacentral:rRNA from 1 species